rnacentral:rRNA from 1 species
UACGAAGGGGGCGAGCGUUGUUCGGAAUUACUGGGCGUAAAGGGUGCGCAGGCGGUUCUGUAAGUCAGAUGUGAAAUCCCCGGGCUUAACCUGGGAAUUGCGUUUGAAACUACAGGACUAGAGUGUAGCAGAGGGAGGUGGAAUUCCAUGUGUAGCAGUGAAAUGCGUAGAGAUAUGGAAGAACAUCGAUGGCGAAGGCAACCUCCUGGGUUAACACUGACGCUCAUGCACGAAAGCGUGGGGAGCAAACAGG